rnacentral:pre_miRNA from 2 species
UGUAAACAAUUCCUAGGCAAUGUGUAUAAUGUUGGUAAGUCAUUCCUAGAAAUUGUUCACAAU